UGUGAGUCGUCAGUUCCCUCCAGACA
rnacentral:piRNA from 1 species